UGGCGGACGGGUGAGUAACGCGUAAAGAACUUGCCCUUUAGACUGGGAUAACAGAGGGAAACUUCUGAUAAUACUUGAUAAGUUAGUAUAUCGCAUGAUAUACAAAUGAAAGCUACGGCACUAAAGGAGAGCUUUGCGUCCUAUUAGCUAGUUGGUAAGGUAAGAGCUUACCAAGGCGAUGAUAGGUAGCCGGCCUGAGAGGGUGGACGGCCACAAGGGGACUGAGAUACGGCCCUUACUCCUACGGGAGGCAGCAGCA
rnacentral:rRNA from 1 species